GACGGGGGAUGCAAGCGUUAUCCGGAAUCACUGGGCGUAAAGCGUCUGUAGGUGGUGAUGCAAGUCACUGGUGCAAAACUCUGGCUCAACCGGAGGAAAGCCAGUGAAACUGCAUGACUAGAGUGUGGGAGAGGUAGAAGGAAUUCCCUGAGUAGCGGUGAAAUGCGUAGAUACAGGGAAGAACACCGGAGGCGAAAGCUUUCUACUGGAACACAACUGACACUGAGAGACGAAAUCUAGGUGAGCGAAUGGU
rnacentral:rRNA from 1 species